AAGUUAUGAUUGUUUUGGUGAAGACGGUGUAAUUCCGUCGCUGUGCCGCAACGGUUAAAGCCCGAUCCCAUUUUUU
rnacentral:ncRNA from 2 species